AUUGAACGCUGGCGGCAUGCCUAACACAUGCAAGUCGAACGGUAACAGGUCGCUGUGAUCCCUUCGGGGUGAACUUGAUGCUGACGAGUGGCGGACGGGUGAGUAAUGCUUGGGAAUCUGCCCAGUAGUGGGGGACAACACGAGGAAACUCGUGCUAAUACCGCAUACGUCCUACGGGAGAAAGUGGGGGAUCUUCGGACCUCACGCUAUUGGAUGAGCCCAAGUCGGAUUAGCUUGUUGGUGGGGUAAAGGCCUACCAAGGCGACGAUCCGUAGCUGGUCUGAGAGGACGAUCAGCCACACUGGGACUGAGACACGGCCCAGACUCCUACGGGAGGCAGCAGUGGGGAAUAUUGGACAAUGGGCGCAAGCCUGAUCCAGCAAUGCCGCGUGUGUGAAGAAGGCCUGCGGGUUGUAAAGCACUUUCAGUAGAGAAGAAAAGCUCCGGGUUAAUAACCCUGGGUCUUGACGUAACCUACAGAAGAAGCUCCGGCUAACUCCGUGCCAGCAGCCGCGGUAAUACGGGGGGAGCGAGCGUUGUUCGGAAUCACUGGGCGUAAAGGGCGUGUAGGCGGUUUGGUAAGUGAGAUGUGAAAGCCCCCGGCUCACCCGGGGAUGUGCAUUUCAAACUGCUGGACUUGAGUACGGAAGAGGAUGGGGGAAUUCCUGGUGUAGCGGUGAAAUGCGUAGAUAUCAGGAGGAACACCGGUGGCGAAGGCGCCCAUCUGGUCCGUUACUGACGCUGAUGCGCGAAAGCUAGGGGAGCGAACGGGAUUAGAUACCCCGGUAGUCCUAGCCGUAAACGGUGGGCACUAGGUGUUGGAGGCAUCGACCCUUCCAGUGCCGCAGCUAACGCAUUAAGUGCCCCGCCUGGGGAGUACGGUCGCAAGACUGAAACUCAAAGGAAUU
rnacentral:rRNA from 1 species